UACGAAGGGGGCUAGCGUUGCUCGGAAUCACUGGGCGUAAAGGGCCAGUAGGCGGCCAACUAAGUCGGAUGUGAAAUCCCCAGGCUUAACCUGGGAACUGCAUCCGAUACUGGAUGGCUUGAAUUCGGGAGAGGGAUGCAGAAUUCCAGGUGUAGCGGUGAAAUGCGUAGAUAUCUGGAGGAAUACCGGUGGCGAAGGCGGCAUCCUGGACCGACAUUGACGCUGAAAGGCGAAAGCUAGGGGAGCAAACGGG
rnacentral:rRNA from 1 species